rnacentral:rRNA from 1 species
UCAAGCGAACAAGGGCGCAGGGCGAAUGCCUUGGCACUGGGAGCCGAUGAAAGACGUGAUAAGCUGCGAUAAGCUUCGGGGAGCUGCAAAUAAGCAUUGAUCCGGAGAUUUCUGAAUGAGGAAACUCACCUGGGUUCAUACUCAGGUACGUUAUACUGAACUUCAAAAUAGGUAUAUCGAGGGAACCGCCUGAACUGAAACAUCUAAGUAGGGCGAGGAAGAGACAUCAAACGAGAUUCCGUAAGUAGUGGCGAGCGAACGCGGAAGAGGGCAAACCGAGAGUAGAAAUACUUUCGGGGUACGGACUGCUUUUAGGACUUAAUCUGUUAACCGAACGGCAUGGGAAGGCCGGUCAGAGAGUGUGAGAACCACGUAGGUGAAAACGGAGAGAGCUGCGCAGGAUCCAGAGUACGGCCAGACACGUGAAACCUGGUCGGAAUACGGGGGGACCACCCUCCAACCCUAAAUACUACCCAGUGACCGAUAGCGUAUAGUACUGUGAAGGAAAGGUGAAAAGCACCCCGGGAGGGGAGUGAAAAAGAACCUGAAACCCUGUGCCUACAAGCACCUAGAGCGCGUCAAUGCGUGAUAGGGUACUUUUUGUAGAACGGUCCGGCGAGCGAUUGUAUGCAGCAAGGUUAAGGACUUAAGGUCUGGAGCCGAAGCGAAAGCGAGUUUGAAAAGGGCGUUAAGUUGCAUACAAUGGGCCCGAAACCGGGUGACCUACCCAUGGUCAGGUUGAAGUGGAAGUAAAAUUCCAUGGAGGACCGAACCGACCUCCGUUGAAAAGGCGGCGGAUGAACUGUGGGUAGCGGAGAAAUUCCAAUCGAACCCGGAGAUAGCUGGUUCUCCCCGAAAUAGUUUUAGGACUAGCCUCAAGUUAGAUACCUGGAGGUAAAGCACUGAAUAGCCUAGCGGCCGAGAGGUUAGCGAAGCUUAUCAAACUCAGAAUGCCAGAGUAUUGAUGCUUGGGAGUCAGACAGUGUCAGAUAAAUGUCAUUGUCAAAAGGGAAACAGCCCAGAUCUACAGCUAAGGUCCCAAAGUCAGGUUAAGUGGAAAACGAUGUGAAGAUACGCAGACAACCAGGAUGUUGGCUCAGAAGCAGCCACUCAUUCAAAGAGUGCGUAAUAGCUCACUGGUCGAGCGUCUUUGCGCGGAGAAUUUAACGGGGCUAAACCUGACACCGAAGCUUAGGCAAUACAGCAAUGUAUUGGGUAGGGGAGCGUUGUAUACGCGGUGAAACAGUAGCGCAAGCGGCUGUGGAGUGUAUAGAAGUGAGAAUGCCGGAAUGAGUAGCGCGAAUGCAGUGAGAAUCUGCAUGGCCGAAAGCCUCAGGUUUCUGGAGGAAGGUUCGUCCGCUCCAGGUUAGUCGGGAGCUAAGGUGAGGCCUAACGGCGUAGCCGAUGCACAGACGGUAGAGAUUCCGUCACCACCAAAAGAGUUAAACACAGGGACACAUAUGAAGUCUCGGAGCCGGGUGUUGGUUCCGGUAGCGAUCGAGGGAAGUUAGUACCGAAGUCCGGGAUGGAAGAUGGCGAGAAAAGCUGUGUGUAUUUCUGCGGUGCCCGUACCGCAAACCGACACAGGUAGGUAGGAAGAAGAUUCUAAGGCCAACGGGAGAAGGGUUGUUAAGGAACUCGGCAAAUUGACCCCGUAACUUCGGGAGAAGGGGUGCUCCAGAGAUGGAGCCGCAGAGAAUCGGCCCAAGCAACUGUUUACCAAAAACACAGGUUUGUGCUAAAUCGAAAGAUGACGUAUACGAGCUGACGCCUGCCCGGUGCUGGAAGGUUAAGAGGAGAUGUGCAAGCAUUGAAUCGAAGCCCCAGUGAACGGCGGCCGUAACUAUAACGGUCCUAAGGUAGCGAAAUUCCUUGUCAGGUAAG